rnacentral:sRNA from 1 species
ACAGAGUACAACAAAGUGCCUGAAUUGAGUGAUUCCUCCUAGUAUUAAGAUUUUAUCAUUUUAAUUAUUAUUAUUUUUUUAUCUAGCAGUUUCUUAACGACUUUGAUUGUUGGAAGGUCAAAAUGCUCUUUUAUUUUGGUACUUGUUCAGGUUCAAGAAUUAAAAACUUAAGAUGGGGGAAGAAGGCUUUGCUUUCUCUAACUCUUAUUUUCUGUAGGUACUUCGUAACUCAGGAAGACCUCAUUUAUUCCCAGUAAUAUGUUUUACUAAACUCUUUCAGUUAUCAGAGACUAUUACAGACGAUUGCUGUACUCGAGGCUCAGCGUUCUCAAGCAGUCCAAGACCUUGAAAGUUUAGGCAGGCACCAGAGAGAAGCACUAAAAAAUCCCAUUGGAUUUGUGGAAAAACUCCAGAAGAAGGCUGAUAUUGGGCUUCCAUAUCCACAGAGAGUUGUUCAGUUGCCUGAGAUCGUAUGGGACCAAUAUACCCAUAGCCUUGGGAACUUUGAAAGAGAAUUUAAAAAUCGUAAAAGACAUACUAGAAGAGUUAAGCUAGUUUUUGAUAAAGGUUUACCUGCUAGACCAAAAAGUCCUUUAGAUCCUAAGAAGGAUGGAGAGUCCCUUUCAUAUUCUAUGUUGCCUUUGAGUGAUGGUCCAGAAGGCUCAAGCACUCGUCCUCAGAUGAUAAGAGGACGCCUGUGUGAUGAUACCAAACCUGAAACAUUUAACCAAU